GAGGCAUUUGGGGACACUAAGACACUAGGGCCACAGAGACAUGGGGACACAGACACUGGUGGGGAACACUAAGACACUAGGGACACUGAGAGACAUUGGAACACAGACACUAGGAGACUAGGGGAGAAUUGGAGACACUAUGAGCCCUGGCUGGGAGACAGACACUUGGAGACACUGGGAGACAUGGGGAUACUUGUGAACAUAGACAUGGGCACACUGAGAGACAUGGUGACACAAACACUGGGAGACUUGGGGACACUAGGAGACAUGGGGACACUGAGGACACUGGCUGGGAGACAUGGGGACACUGUGUCCGUAGUGUCUCUGUGUCCCAAUUUCUCAGCAUCCCCAUGUGUCUCAGUGUCCCCAUGUUUUCCAGUGUCUCCAAGUGUCUCAGUGUCCCCCAGGUCUCCCAGUGUCUGUGUUCACAAGUAUCCCCAUGUCUCAGUGUCAC